rnacentral:tRNA from 1 species
AGGGGGCACACGGAGUUGAACCAUGGACCUAUCGAUCUGCAGUCGAUUGCUCUACAACUGAGCUAUACCCCC